UAGGGAAUAUUGCGCAAUGGGCGAAAGCCUGACGCAGCCAUGCCGCGUGGAUGAUGAAGGCCUUCGGGUCGUAAAGUCCUUUUCUGAGGGAAGAACUGCCGGGGGAGGAAAUGCCCUUGGCUUGACGGUACCUCAGGAAUAAGCAACGGCUAACUCCGUGCCAGCAGCCGCGGUAAUACGGAGGUUGCAAGCGUUGUUCGGAAUGACUGGGCGUAAAGGGAGCGCAGGCGGCCAAGUCAGUCUGAAGUGAAAGCCCGGGGCUUAACCCCGGAAUAGCUUUGGAUACUGCCUGGCUUGAGUGUGCGAUAGGAAAGCGGAAUUCCAGGUGUAGCGGUGAAAUGCGUAGAUAUCUGGAGGAACACCGGUGGCGAAAGCGGCUUUCUGGCGCAUAACUGACGCUGAGGCUCGAAAGCUAGGGUAGCAAACGG
rnacentral:rRNA from 1 species